UACGAAGGGUGCAAGCGUUAAUCGGAAUUACUGGGCGUAAAGGGUGCGUAGGCGGUUGUUUAAGUCUGUCGUGAAAUCCCCGGGCUCAACCUGGGAAUGGCGAUGGAAACUGGGCAGCUAGAGUGUGUCAGAGGAUGGUGGAAUUCCCGGUGUAGCGGUGAAAUACGUAGAGAUCGGGAGGAACAUCAGUGGCGAAGGCGGCCAUCUGGGACAACACUGACGCUGAAGCACGAAAGCGUGGGGAGCAAACAGG
rnacentral:rRNA from 1 species